GACGAACGCUGGCGGCGUGCUUAACACAUGCAAGUCGAACGGAAAGGCCCCCUUGUGGGGUACUCGAGUGGCGAACGGGUGAGUAACACGUGAGUAACCUACCCUUGACUUUGGGAUAACUUCAGGAAACUGGGGCUAAUACCGGAUAGGAGCUCCUGCUGCAUGGUGGGGGUUGGAAAGUUUCGGCGGUUGGGGAUGGACUCGCGGCUUAUCAGCUUGUUGGUGGGGUAGUGGCUCACCAAGGCUUUGACGGGUAGCCGGCCUGAGAGGGUGACCGGCCACAUUGGGACUGAGAUACGGCCCAGACUCCUACGGGAGGCAGCAGUGGGGAAUAUUGCACAAGGGGCGGAAGCCUGAUGCAGCAACGCCGCGUGCGGGAUGACGGCCUUCGGGUUGUAAACCGCUUUCGCCUGUGACGAAGCGUGAGUGACGGUAAUGGGUAAAGAAGCACCGGCUAACUACGUG
rnacentral:rRNA from 1 species